rnacentral:lncRNA from 1 species
CACGCACACACACACACACACACAUAUAUAUAUCCACACACACACACACACCCCACAUAUGCAUACAUAGAUAUACAUUAUAUUUAUACAUACAUACAUAUGUACGUACAUUUGUAUGUAUAUCCAUAACUAAGGACUUGUUAACAAUUCAACCUCAAGAACAAGUGGUGCCACUUAUAUUAUAUAUGGUCAACAUUAUAUACGUCUGCUAGUAAAUGGUCAUAACUUCUUAACUUUGGGGAUAUGCUUUUCAAUGUUUUCUCUAGUAUGUGUCCCUGAUUUGCUCCAUGUGUUGACUGGCUAGUUCAGGAUAAACAGAAAGCUUGACAUAAGAUGCAAAGCAGGAUGGAAUAUGCCAAGCCAUUAAUUAAAAACUAGUCCUAGGAAAAUUAUAUGCAAUCUAAGAUCGUAAGAUUUGCAAAGAGAAAGUGGAAACUACAUGCAAUCCAAGAGUUAAGAAGGUAUGCCAUGAUAUGUUUGAAAAAACCUAGGAAAAGAUGAGAUUAAAUGGUGGAUGUACCGGCAAAUCAAUCUAAUAAUUCUUGCUACAAAAUAUUUUAGGGAGUCCAAGCUGUAGAGUUCCUUUAAAUAGGUGUUGUCAUGUCCUUUGUGGCUUUCAUCCAGAUACUCAAAAGCCACUUUGAUGCGAAAAAAAACCAGGCAGCAGCGAUCUUUGUCCUUAGAAUGAUCUCCCCUCGACGUGUCAUAAUUACACACGAGUGAAUUUAGAAGAAAAUAAUUCUCAUCAGCAAGCAAGAUUUACAAAGAUUUUUAUCCAAACCUUCAUCAACCAAUACUUAGUCUACCUACCUUAUGGAUGUAUGCAUGUAACUUUCAACUAUGAUAUUUCUUAACAUGAUUUUAAAAGCAUGUGCAAAAGCAUUACAACAAAUGAGUCGGUAAUGCCUCUGGAUUAUCUUAGGCAUGACUUAAAAUUUCAAGCAUGAUUGUGCCCCAUCUUUUAACCCUGCACAAACUGAUGCUACCAAACUAGGCUUGCUCUAAAGCAAAAACAAAAUGUUUAUCAUAAGAGAGCAUUAUGAGAAACAUCAAAACAAUCAAUAUAAGAAAGUAGAAAGCAGCUUCUAGUUUUCAAGAAUAAUAAGACUGCAGAAACCAUUAAUUGUAAAUCUAUUACUUUGUUGGCGACAAUAAUAAUGUACUAUUUUGAUGGAAAGAAACUCGGAGGAGGGGGAGAAGACUGUUGUUUUUGAAAACUAUAUUUUUCAUAGUAGUUAUUGGCUUAUUGCCUUUAUUGCUUCCACGAAUAUUUAGGCCUGUUAACGAGCCAAGCUGCUUGGGCCCGGGCCCAAAAUGAAGCCCGUUUAAACUCGAGCUCAAGCCCGAGCUCGCACCUGAGCAGCU